rnacentral:lncRNA from 1 species
UGUACAUAAGUUAAAAUAUUGGCUAUUUAUUCUUCAGCUAAACUUGUAUUUAUAUAUAUUGUUUUAGACCUAUCCCCUUGAACUUCUUUGCAAGACUUGAAAGACAAAGUGGCAGAAGAACACUUUCGGACUUCCAAAUUAAAAGUUGUCUACGAAGUUGGUGUCUGAGCUGCGAGAUGGUUAGUGAUCCUGGGAAUGGGAAAGAAAAGUUCAGGAUGCAGCUGCCUUCUCUUCUGAGUCUACUGAAAGUGCUCUCCAAGCAAUGCGGAAAUUCUCUCUGAUGCAUCUUCCAAAACCUGC